GAGUAGUUAUAAUUGAGUAAAAUUACUUGUGAUUUAGGUUUAUGUAGUAAUAAUCAUCUAGGAGUUUAAAAUGGUCAGGGAAAAUCUGCCGUGAAACCCAGAACUAGUCUUGUUUCACCAUCUAGAAUGAGAACUCCAGGUCCAUCUUUAGUCCCCAAGGAAGUUAGGUUAACUCAACAGGGUUCUCUUGCACAACGUAGCUGGGAAGGAUUGCUUGUGUAGUGGGAGCACUACUGUGACUAUAGUGAAGCAGGGUUCGAAUCUGUUCAUGGGCUAUACUGGGGAUUCUCGAGCAAUGAUGGGAUCCAAGGAUGGUGGCUAUUCAGUUGACUGUUGAUUUGAAGCCUGAUUUGCCAAGGGAAGCAGAGAGAAUUAAGAAGUGCAAAGGUAGGGUAUUUGCUUUGCAAUCUGAGCCUGAUCAAACCCAAUACUCUUUUCUUGUUUUUGUGUAUGUUGUUCACUUUGGAGAAUGUUAUUGCAGCAUUCAGGUACUGUCAUCUAAAUUCUUGUAUUCCUCAUCUAAAUUCCAAGUCUGCAUUGUAUCAGAUGUGUUGUUGCUGCUGCAUGUAUUGGUUAAUUAUCUACCAAUUGAAUGAUUUUAUAAUUGUUGAAAUCAUUUUAUAUGUCUACAAAUUGUGUGUUUACUAUGUAAAUAAAUCAUUUUAUAAUUUUUCAAAUUGUGUGUUAUACUAUGUAAUUAAAAGCAACAGCUUUUAAAGCUACCAGCAAACACACAAAAAAAAAACCAAAAAACCGGCAAACACUUCAUCUCUUGCAUUCAUUUGCCAUUAAGUUAUGGUUAUGAGUCAAGCUCAUUUGUUGGUUUCAUGAUUUCAUCUAGCUUUGUUACGAGCCAUGUGAUGAACAAAACAAAAAUCCAUCAGUUUGGCUCUAUGUUUUUAUAGCGGUGUGAUUGUGUCUACUAUUGCAUCUACACUUUCUAAAAUGGAGCUUUAUACAUAUAUUCAUUGUGUGCAACA